CGGCGGACGGGUGAGUAACGCGUGGGUAACCUGCCUCAUACAGGGGGAUAACAGUUGGAAACGGCUGCUAAUACCGCAUAAGCGCACAGUACCGCAUGGUACGGUGUGAAAAACUCCGGUGGUAUGAGAUGGACCCGCGUCUGAUUAGCUAGUUGGUGGGGCAACGGCCUACCAAGGCGACGAUCAGUAGCCGACCUGAGAGGGUGACCGGCCACAUUGGGACUGAGACACGGCCCAA
rnacentral:rRNA from 1 species